UACAGAGGGGGCAAGCGUUGUUCGGAAUUACUGGGCGUAAAGGGCGCGUAGGCGGCCUUCUAAGUCGAACGUGAAAUCCCCGGGCUCAACCCGGGAACUGCGUCCGAUACUGGAAGGCUUGAAUCCGGGGAGGGAUGCGGAAUUCCAGGUGUAGCGGUGAAAUGCGUAGAUAUCUGGAGGAACACCGGUGGCGAAGGCGGCAUCCUGGACCGGCACUGACGCUGAGGCGCGAAAGCCAGGGGAGCAAACGGG
rnacentral:rRNA from 1 species